rnacentral:rRNA from 1 species
GAUGAACGCUAGCGGCAGGCCUAAUACAUGCAAGUCGGACGGGAUUCAGGAGCUUGCUUCUGAUGAGAGUGGCGCACGGGUGCGUAACACGUAUGUAACCUACCUUUAUCAGGGGGAUAGCCUUUCGAAAGAGAGAUUAAGCCCGCAUAAAAUCACAGCACAGCAUUGUGUAAUGAUCAAAUAUUUAUAGGAUAAAGAUGGGCAUGCGGAACAUUAGCUAGAUGGCGGGGUAACGGCCCACCAUGGCGACGAUGUUUAGGGGAUCUGAGAGGAUGGCCCCCCACACUGGUACUGAGACACGGACCAGACUCCUACGGGAGGCAGCAGUAAGGAAGAUUGAGCAAUGGGCGGAAGCCUGAACCAGCCAUGCCGCGUGCAGGAAAACGGCCCUACGGGUUGUAAACUGCUUUUAUACGGGAAUAAACCCAGAUACGUGUAUCUGGCUGAAUGUACUGGAAGAAUAAGGAUCGGCUAACCCCGUG